AAAGGUUUGGUCCUAGCUUUGCUGUCACCUGUAGCCAAAUUUACACAUGCAAGCAUCCGCACUCCCGUGAGAAUGCCCUCAACCCUCUUAUGAGAUCGAGGAGCUGGUAUCAGGCACACGACGCAGCCCAAGACACCUUGCUCAGCCACACCCCUAAGGGAAUUCAGCAGUGAUAAAUAUUAAGCAAUAAGUGAAAACUUGACUUAGUUAAAGCUAAAAGGGCCGGUAAAACUCGUGCCAGCCACCGCGGUUAUACGAGAGACCCAAGAUGACAGAUAUCGGCGUAAAGAGUGGUUAGGUGAAUGAAUAACUAAAGCUCAACACCCUCCAGGCUGUUAUACGCACCUGAGGAAAUGAAAACCUAACACGAAAGUAGCUUUAAAAAACUGAACCCACGAAAACCGUGAAACAAACUGGGAUUAGAUACCCCACUAUGCACGGUUGUAAACAAUGAUGUACAAAUACCCAACGUCCGCCAGGGGACUACAAACCCCAGUUUAAAACCCAAAGGACUUGGCGGUGCUUUAGACCCCCCUAGAGGAGCCUGUUCUAUAACUGAUAACCCUCGUUAAACCUCACCCUCCCUUGUUUUAUCCGCCUAUAUACCGCCGUCGUCAGCUUACCCUCUGAAGGCAAAACAGUGAGCAAAAUUAGUACAACCCAAAACGCCAGGUCGAGGUGUAGUAUAUGGGAGGGGAAGAAAUGGGCUACAUUCGUCUACUGACGAAUAACGAAUAAUUUGUUGAAAAAUAGAUUUGAAGGAGGAUUUAGCAGUAAAAAGGAAAUAGAGUGUCCUUUUGAAAUUGGCCCUGAAGCGCGCACACACCGCCCGUCACUCUCUCCUAACAUGCUUAUGAAACCUUAAAUAAAAAUACUUAAAUAAACAAGGGGAGGCAAGUCGUAACAUGGUAAGUGUACCGGAAGGUGUACUUGGAAUAU
rnacentral:ncRNA from 1 species